rnacentral:snRNA from 1 species
GAAUAUCAUUAAUUUCUAAGG